rnacentral:rRNA from 1 species
GUCGAGGAUCUUCGGCAAUGGGCGCAAGCCUGACCGAGCGACGCCGCGUGAGCGAUGAAGGCCUUCGGGUUGUAAAGCUCUGUCGGGGGGGAGAAAACCGCAAGGUUGAUCUAUCUCCGGAGGAAGCACGGGCUAAGUUCGUGCCAGCAGCCGCGGUAAGACGAACCGUGCGAACGUUGUUCGGAAUCACUGGGCUUAAAGGGCGCGUAGGCGGGCCGUCCAGUCCGGGGUGAAAUCUUUCGGCUCAACCGGAAAAGUGCCUUGGAUACUGACGGUCUCGAGGGAGGUAGGGGUAUGUGGAACUUCCGGUGGAGCGGUGAAAUGCGUUGAUAUCGGAAGGAACGCCGGUGGCGAAAGCGACGUACUGGACCUCUUCUGACGCUGAGGCGCGAAAGCCAGGGGAGCGAACGGGAUUAGAAACCCCUGUAGUCC